AACGUACGCUGGCGGCACGCCUAACACAUGCAAGUCGAACGAAGUAGCAAUACUUAGUGGCAGACGGGUGAGUAACAUGUAGGUAUCUGCCCUUUGGCCUGGAAUAACACGAGGAAACUUGUGCUAAUACCGGAUAAGUCUUUACGGAGAAAGCUUUAUGCACCAUUGGAUGAGCCUGCACUUGAUUAGUUUGUUGGUGGGGUAAUGGCCUACCAAGACUGUGAUCAAUAGCUGAUUUGAGAGGAUGAUCAGCCACAUUGGGACUGAGACACGGCCCAAACUCCUACGGGAGGCAGCAGUGGGGAAUCUUGCACAAUGGAGGAAACUCUGAUGCAGCGAUGCCGCGUGAGUGAAGAAGGCCCUUGGGUUGUAAAGCUCUUUCGUCGGGGAAGAAAAUGACUGUACCCGAAUAAGAAGGUCCGGCUAACUUCGUGCCAGCAGCCGCGGUAAUACGAAGGGACCUAGCGUAGUUCGGAAUUACUGGGCUUAAAGAGUUCGUAGGUGGUUGAAAAAGUUAGUGGUGAAAUCCCAGAGCUUAACUCUGGAACUGCCAUUAAAACUUUUCAGCUAGAGUAUGAUAGAGGAAAGCAGAAUUUCUAGUGUAGAGGUGAAAUUCGUAGAUAUUAGAAAGAAUACCAAUUGCGAAGGCAGCUUUCUGGAUCAUUACUGACACUGAGGAACGAAAGCAUGGGUAGCGAAGAGGAUUAGAUACCCUCGUAGUCCAUGCCGUAAACGAUGUGUGUUAGACGUUGGAAAUUUAUUUUCAGUGUCGCAGGGAAACCGAUAAACACACCGCCUGGGGGAGUACGACCGCAAGGUUAAAACUCAAAUGAAUUGACGGGGACCCGCACAAGUAGUGGAGCAUGUGGUUUAAUUCGAAGAUACGCGCAGAACCUUACCAACACUUGACAUGUUCGUCGCGACUCUAAGAGAUUAGAGUUUUCGGUUCGGCCGGACGAAACACAGGUGCUGCAUGGCUGUCGUCAGCUCGUGU
rnacentral:rRNA from 1 species